AAGUACCUUCGGGUAUUGUACUAGUGGCGUACGGGUGAGUAACACGUGGAUAAUCUUCCUUCAGGUGGGGAAUAACCAAUCGAAAGAUUGGCUAAUACCGCAUAAGACCACAGUCUCUACGGAGAUAGGGGUUAAAGGCUUCGGCCGUCUGAAGAUGAGUCUGCGUCCGAUUAGCUAGUUGGUGAGGUAAUAGCUUACCAAGGCGACGAUCGGUAGCUGGUCUGAGAGGAUGAUCAGCCACACUGGGACUGAGACACGGCCCAGACUCCUACGGGAGGCAGCAGUAGGGAAUAUUGCACAAUGGACGAAAGUCUGAUGCAGCGACGCCGCGUGAGUGAUGAAGGCCUUCGGG
rnacentral:rRNA from 1 species